rnacentral:rRNA from 1 species
CCUACGGGGGGCUGCAGUGAGGAAUAUUGGUCAAUGGGCGUAAGUCUGAACCAGCCAAGUCGCGUGAGGGAUGAAGGUUCUAUGGAUCGUAAACCUCUUUUAUAAGGGAAUAAAGUGUGGGACGUGUCCUGUUUUGUAUGUACCUUAUGAAUAAGGAUCGGCUAACUCCGUGCCAGCAGCCGCGGUAAUACGGAGGAUCCGAGCGUUAUCCGGAUUUAUUGGGUUUAAAGGGUGCGUAGGUGGACUGUUAAGUCAGUGGUGAAAGUUUGUGGCUCAACCAUAGAAUUGCCGUUGAAACUGGGAGGCUUGAGUAUGUUAGAGGCAGGCGGAAUGCGUGGUGUAGCGGUGAAAUGCUUAGAUAUCACGCAGAACCCCGAUUGCGAAGGCAGCCUGCCGGGCCAUGACUGACGCUGAUGCACGAAAGCGUGGGGAUCAAACAGGAUUAGAUACCCCAGUAGUC